UGGAAGCUGGUUUCAGGUGGUGGCUUAGAGUGUUUUAUGUUAUUCAUCUAGCACCAUUUGAAAUCAGUGUUCU
rfam:Scleropages formosus scaffold506, whole genome shotgun sequence.